rnacentral:rRNA from 1 species
AAAAGAGCAUCAACGAGGGUGAGAGUCCCGUUUGUCAUCUGCAGACCCCCGUGCACGGCGUACCUUCCAAGAGUCGCGUUCCUCGGAAUUGGAGCGUAAAUUGGGUGGUAAAUUUCAUCUGAAGCUAAAUAUUGGUUCGAGACCGAUAGCAAACAAGUACCAUGAGGGAAAGGUGAAAAGGACUUUGAAAAGAGAGUUAAAAGUGCCUGAAAUUGCUGAAAGGGAAGCGAAUGGAACCAGUGCGCUUGGUGAGAUUGUCACAUGGCUUCCAUGUGGUGGUUCUUGCCUUGUGUGUCAUUGCCAGUUUGCGUUCGAGGAAAACUCCAGAGACAUGGUAGCCUGGCCCCGGCUGGGUGAAUGUGUCUGGUAGAACUCAUUCGCGUACUGUUUUCUGUGUCUGGUUGCAGUGCACUGUGCCAUCUGGGGGUGGCUGGAGAGGGAGUUUACUCCACUUCUUUGGCUAACUUCUGGGUGA